rnacentral:rRNA from 1 species
GUGGGGAAUAUUGGACAAUGGGCGAAAGCCUGAUCCAGCCAUGCCGCGUGUGUGAAGAAGGUCUUCGGAUUGUAAAGCACUUUAAGUUGGGAGGAAGGGCAGUAAGUUAAUACCUUGCUGUUUUGACGUUACCGACAGAAUAAGCACCGGCUAACUUCGUGCCAGCAGCCGCGGUAAUACGAAGGGUGCAAGCGUUAAUCGGAAUUACUGGGCGUAAAGCGCGCGUAGGUGGUUCAGCAAGUUGAAGGUGAAAUCCCCGGGCUCAACCUGGGAACUGCCUCCAAAACUGCAUGACUAGAGUACGGUAGAGGGUGGUGGAAUUUCAGGUGUAGCGGUGAAAUGCGUAGAGAUCUGAAGGAACAUCAGUGGCGAAGGCGACCACCUGGACUGAUACUGACACUGAGGUGCGAAAGCGUGGGGAGCAAACAGGAUUAGAAACCCCAGUAGUCC